GACUUGGUGGCCUGAUCUUUUCCCUGACAUCUGUAAGUUGGCUAUAGGAGCCCCUCCUGGAUGGGACUUGGAGGGGUACUCUGACAUUCAGAGGGCACCUUUAACACCCCCUCCGUACGUAGAAAAACAUUCGAGAGACCCAUGGGGUGGUUGCUCUAACCAAAGGGAUAGAAGUAUGCUUCGAACCCAUCCCUUCUAUGUCUGCCCCGGACCCCACCGAAGUCAGUCCCUCAAUCCAACGUGUGGAGGUAAGGCUGACUUCUUUUGUAAGAGCUGGGGUUGCGAGACUUCAGGUACAGCCCGCUGGAAGCCCUCCUCGAGUUGGGACUAUAUUAGAGUAACAGCCAACUAUUCCCUAGCGUCUUAUGUACCUGGAGGAUUUGACCUAGACGAGUGUACUGACUGGUGCCAUCCGCUCCGUGUCACCUUCACUGAACCAGGGAAGAGAGCUCUGGGAUGGACAAAAGGGUAUACCUGGGGUCUUAGGAUUUACAAGGAAAGAUAUGAUGAGGGAUUAUUGUUCACUAUCAGAUUAAAAAUAGAGACCCCCUACAAUCCUUUAGGCCCCCCAACCAAGUUCACACCCCUCACCCAUACAAUUACUCAGCCUACUCCAGUGAUUGCGGACCCCCUUAAUAUGGCCGCUAUCACCCAACCUCCCACUCCUCAGGUACCUCUAACUAUUACCCCCGAGAUUCCUUCAAGACAGAGGAUGUUUAACCUAGUGAGAGGAGCCUUUUAUGCCCUUAACAGAACUGAUCCAAGCGCUACUGAGGACUGCUGGCUAUGCCUGUCCUCGGGUCCGCCUUAUUAUGAAGGAAUCGCCUUCAAUGGAGAUUUCAACAGAACCAGCAGCCAUACUUCCUGCUCUUGGGGUACAGGACAAAAACUGACCCUGACUGAAGUAUCCGCGAGGAAUCCAGGUCUCUGUAUAGGUACCCCACCUUCCACUCACAAACACCUAUGCGGACAAAUUCAGUCCAGAACGGAAGCUGAUUACUAUCUUGUACCUUCCCCGGUUGGAUGGUGGGCUUGCAAUACAGGACUUACUCCCUGUGUAUCAACUAAGGUUUUUAAUUCAUCUCAUGAUUUUUGUGUCAUGAUCCAGCUGUUACCCCGUGUAUAUUAUCACCCUGCAUCCAGUUUAGAAGAAAGCUAUGCGGGCCGGCGGUCAAAAAGAGAACCAAUUACUUUAACCCUGGCUGCAUUCAUGGGAAUAGGUAUGGCAGUAGGAGUGGGGACGGGAGUGUCAGCUUUGAUAGAAGGAAGACAGGGAAUUCAGUCUUUGAGGGAUGCUGUCAAUGAAGACCUAGCGGCAAUAGAGAAGUCCAUAGACGCUUUAGAAAAAUCUUUGACCUCCCUGUCUGAGGUAGUUUUACAGAACAGGAGAGGUCUUGAUUUGUUGUUCCUAAAGGAAGGAGGACUGUGUGCUGCCCUUAAAGAAGAGUGCUGCUUCUAUGCAGAUCAUACAGGAAUAGUUAGAGACUCUAUGCAGAAACUGAGAGAAAGAUUAGAGCGAAGGAAACGGGAACGGGAUGCUCAACGGGGGUGGUUUGAGUCGUGGUUUGAAUCACGACCAUCUUGGAUAACUUCUUUAAUUUCCGCUGUAGCCGGACCAAUCCUUAUGAUAUGCUUAGCUUUAGUUUUCGGCCCUUGUAUAAUAAAUAGAGGAAUGGCUUUCAUCCAGAGUAAAAUUGAUACAGUAAAACUCAUGGUUCUUCAAAGGCAAUAUCAACCUAUAGUUCAGGUAGAUGAAGAGUUAAGGGACACUGACCUCUAAAAUUCUAUGAUUAGAAUUAGUCUAAACAGAAGAAGAGGGGAAUGAAAGGAAAUAAAACUGUAAUUCAUGUAAUGUAUGUUAAAUAGCCCCAAGAGUUGUUUCUGAGCUUUGAAACCUGGGGCUGAGAACAUAGCAGAACAGACCAGGACAUGCCCGGGCAAGCCCAUCGCCUCCCUAGCUCCCACCCCUCUGACCUAAGUU
rnacentral:lncRNA from 1 species